rnacentral:rRNA from 1 species
UACAGAGGUCUCAAGCGUUGUUCGGAUUCAUUGGGCGUAAAGGGUGUGUAGGUGGCGCCGUAAGUCGGGUGUGAAAUUUCGGAGCUUAACUCCGGAACUGCAUUCGAUACUGCGGUGCUUGAGGACUGGAGAGGAGACUGGAAUUCAUGGUGUAGCAGUGAAAUGCGUAGAGAUCAUGAGGAAGACCAGUGGCGAAGGCGGGUCUCUGGACAGUUCCUGACGCUGAGGCACGAAGGUCAGGGGAGCAAACGGG